rnacentral:rRNA from 1 species
GAUGAACGCUGGCGGCGUGCCUAAUACAUGCAAGUCGAGCGAACAGACGAGGAGCUUGCUCCUCUGACGUUAGCGGCGGACGGGUGAGUAACACGUGGAUAACCUACCUAUAAGACUGGGAUAACUUCGGGAAACCGGAGCUAAUACCGGAUAACAUGUUGAACCGCAUGGUUCAACAGUGAAAGACGGUCUUGCUGUCACUUAUGGAUGGAUCCGCGCCGCAUUAGCUAGUUGGUAAGGUAACGGCUUACCAAGGCAACGAUGCGUAGCCGACCUGAGAGGGUGAUCGGCCACACUGGAACUGAGACACGGUCCAGACUCCUACGGGAGGCAGCAGUAGGGAAUCUUCCGCAAUGGGCGAAAUCCUGACGGAGCAACGCCGCGUGAGUGAAGAAGGUCUUCGGAUCGUAAAACUCUGUUAUUAGGGAAGAACAAAUGUGUAAGUAACUAUGCACGUCUUGACGGUACCUAAUCAGAAAGCCACGGCUAACUACGUG